GUAGGGAAUAUUGGGCAAUGGUCGGAAGACUGACCCAGCCAUGCCGCGUGCAGGAAGACGGCCCUCUGGGUUGUAAACUGCUUUUAUCUGGGAAGAAAACGGCCAUGCGUGGCAAAUUGCCGGUACCAGAUGAAUAAGCACCGGCUAACUCCGUGCCAGCAGCCGCGGUAAUACGGAGGGUGCGAGCGUUGUCCGGAUUUAUUGGGUUUAAAGGGUGCGUAGGCGGCUGAUUAAGUCAGCGGUGAAAGACUUCGGCUUAACCGGAGCAGUGCCGUUGAUACUGGUUGGCUUGAGUGUCGGAGGGGUACAUGGAAGGGGUGGUGUGACAUUGAAAUGCAUAGAUAACAUCAGGAACACCGGUAGCGAGGGCAUUGUACUGGCCGACGACUGACGCUGAUGCACGAAAGUGUGGGGAUCGAACAGGAUUAGAUACCCCGGUAGUCC
rnacentral:rRNA from 1 species